GCAACCGAGUGAAGCACAGACUGCUGCGGCCAUGAAGAAAGUUUGUUUUCUGUCCUGAGCCUGUCCAAAUUACAGUUAGCUAACAGCCAUGUCCAGCAGUGUGAAGCCAAAGCCUGGGCGCUAUGGGAGUGAUAUCCACAGACUGCUGCUGGCGGCUGAAGCCGGGCAGAAGGCUGAUAUCCUGGCCUACUCCUCGGGUCAUCUGGGGCCUCGCAGCCUGAACCAGAGUCAGCCUCAAGAGGAGACAAAGUCGGUUUUUUGGAGGAUGUCUCAGAGCCAAGAAGAAAGUCGAAACCCACUAUCUCUCCAGCAGAUACAGACAAAGGCAAAAAAGAAUGAAAUGAAAGAGUUCCCCCCUGAGCUCACUUCUGGCACAGCUUUAGUAGAGCCUAGAGUCUUGGGGUACACACAAGAUCAUACAUCACAUCCUGAAAGAAGAGAACAUAUAAGUCUAUCUCAUAUAGUUUACCGUCCCUCAAGGACUUUGCCUGUCCAGCAGAAAGCUUGUUCUCAGAAAAAAACUAAAUCUCCAUCUGAUCUGGGGGUAAAUCAUCAUUUCACAUUGAGCCGUUCUGACCAGGACAGCCUGAACAACCAAAACCAGCAAGAGAAGAAAAAAUGCUUUGGCUGGCAAGUCAUGGCCAAACCGGACCUCUGGGCUGUAAAAAAUGUUGCUGAAAUGCAUGCAAGGAAACUGCAAGAGGGGUUGAUUAAGUUGUCUGCGCAGAGCUGGCCCAGCAGAGACCGCCUUGCGGUGUUCAGUGACGUCUUUGAUGAUGUAUGUGAAGACUCGCCAGUGUUUGGACGCAUCCUGAGGGAAAUUAAGACAGAAUAUGAUUUAUACGUCAACCACCUGAUGAGUUUGCAGUCCUCACCACGCAGCCUGUCACCGAAUACUUCACUCAAAGUAAGCGAAACCAAGUUGGACGAUGCUGAAAAGGAGGUUUGCAGGCUGGAGCAUGAGGCUAGAAGAGCUCUAGAGGAGAAGAAACGGGUCCAAAAUGAGUUACAGAACAUUUCAGCUGCCAUGCACCCGAAGGACAGUUACAAGAAAAAUACAUGUCGGUCAGGGCUGCAGGAUACUGUGAGUGUCUCUGGCUAUUCUGACAGCAUCCAGUUCAAGAGGCUUCAAGUAAUGAAUGUUUGGAAGGAAAUCAAACAGCUGGAGGAAGAGCUAGAAGAGAAGUUGGUGUCCACUGUUACAACCACAGCUACUAAAGGACAUAUCAGAGACCAACAGACUGAAAUAUUGAAGCUGAUAGCCUCAAAUGAGCAUCUAAGGGUCAUUAGCAAGGAUCUUGAAAACAACAUCAGCGCAGUGCUGAACAAGGAGAAAGCAAGCAAGGCCAUAAGACGGAUUUUGUGGGAUGAAAUACACCAAGAUCUACAAGCAGAGUGAAUGGCGUCACCAGUCGCCAUAAGGCGGUGGCAGAAGUGUUUGUGUGCAUGAACUUGUUAAAAAAUCAUCUGGUCGCCCCAGUUUCAAAGGGUGACCUUUGCCCCUGACAUGAGGGAAUGCUUUGCUGUCUGCCGGA